GGGCGCAAGCCUGUGCAGCCUGCCGCGUGUGUGAAGAAGGCCUUCGGGUUGUAAAGCACUUUCAGNAGUGAGGAAGGUGGUGUCGUUAAUAGCUGCNUUNUUUGACGUUAGCUNCAGAAGAAGCACCGGCUAACUCCGUGCCAGCAGCCGCGGUAAUACGGAGGGUGCCGAGCGUUAAUCGGAAUUACUGGGCGUAAAGCGCAUGCAGGUGGUUAGUUAAGUCAGGAUGUGAAAGCCCGGGGCUCAACCUCGGAACUGCAUUUGAAACUGGCUGACUAGAGUACUGUAGAGGGGGGUAGAAUUUCGGUGUAGCGGUGAAAUGCGUAGAGAUCUGAAGGAAUACCGGUGGCGAAGGCGGCCCCCUGGACAGAUACUGACACUCAGAUGCGAAAGCGUGGGGAGCAAACAGGAUUAGAUACCCUGGUAGUCCACGCCGUAAACGAUGUCUACUUGGAGGUUGUGGCCUUGAGCCGUGGCUUUCGGAGCUAACGCGUUAAGUAGACCGCCUGGGGAGUACGGUCGCAAGAUUAAAACUCAAAUGAAUUGACGGGGGCCCGCACAAGCGGUGGAGCAUGUGGUUUAAUUCGAUGCAACGCGAAGAACCUUACCUACUCUUGACAUCCAGAGAACUUAGCAGAGAUGCUUUGGUGCC
rnacentral:rRNA from 1 species